rnacentral:lncRNA from 1 species
UGCUGGCCACUUUUUGCAAUGUAAAUUCCACAUACCAUAUGUACAUCCUAUAUACUUAUUCUCAUUUUACUAUGAUCACUUAUGUUAAGAGAAGCAUGUCUAAUACAUAACGGGAAACAAAUUAGGAUCCUUUUAUCAUCUAUCUUUCCCUUGAGAAUCUCUUACUAAGAGUCUCUUAUUUACCUCCACCCCCAUAACCAUUGU